GAUUAACGCUGGCGGCGUGCCUGACACAUGCAAGUCGAACGAGUUCUAGUUGCCCGCAAGGGUGACUAGCGCUAGUGGCGGACGGGUGAGUAACACGUGGGCAACCUGCCUGAGAGCGCGGAAUAACCCUGCGAAAGCAGAGCUAAUACCGCAUGUGGUUGUUGUUGGCAUCUUCUAACAACUAAAGUCGCAAGACGCUCUCAGAUGGGCCCGCGGCCAUUAGCUAGUUGGUGAGGUAACGGCCCACCAAGGCAUUGAUGGGUAGCUGGUCUGAGAGGACGGACAGCCACACUGGGACUGAGACACGGCCCAGACUCCUACGGGAGGCAGCAGUGAGGAAUUUUCCGCAAUGGGCGAAAGCCUGACGGAGCAACGCCGCGUGAGGGAUGAAGUCUUUAGGGAUGUAAACCUCUGUUGGGAGGACGAAGAUCUGACGGUACCUCUGAGGAAGCCCCGGNUAACUACGUGCCAGCAGCCGCCGUAAU
rnacentral:rRNA from 1 species